CGGCGGGCGGGCGCGGGCGGCCGGCACGGACCGGGUGUUAGACACACACACACAACACGGGCACCGGGUUGGCUGGGGCCCUUCAGUUUUGGGGCGCCACCGAGUUGGGGCUCAAGGGUCCCUAGGUAACCCCCUCUUGUCCCGAGGCUACUUCAUACCCCUCCACCGCUCCCGGGGACGAGACUCCUACCGAGGUCUCGGUGGGCUCAAGCCCACAACUUGGCGUUGCAGAAUAAAUGGAUGGCCAUGAUUCCGAGCCCGCCAUACCCUCUCUUCUGUCCCAUCUUUGUUUUAACCAAAAAACUCCGUGACUGUCGCUCCCUCCUCCCUGACUUCCCCCCUCCCCCAGUUGAAUGUUUUAUAUUCCCCGGUCAAAAGUCCAGAAGAACUUCUAACACUUUCUGGAUUUGAUUCCCUUCAACCCUCCUCCUCUCCCCCACCCCCAGAUCCAAAAUUGCGUUCUGAUCCUCAGAACCAAGUGCCUCUAGCACUUGAUGGGACUUCACGGGCUCCCGCAACCCGAGAAGGGAAACAAGCGUCCCCAGCGGAGGGGCUUGCUGGUGUUUCGUCUCUCAUGACACCUACAGGCAAGCUCAUCAGUCUCAAGAUGAUGUACCAGUCAGAGGUCUCACCCAGGACUGAGCACAUCCGCAGGGAGAAGCUCUGGAGCCAGCAGUGCUCUUUUUGUUCUGCAGCUGAAGAAACCAAGCCAAGGAUGACCAAUAGGCAGACUUCAGCAUGGAGACCGACCUCCAUCCAACUGAUGAAUGGGAGUCUACCAUCUGACGCUCUGCAUCCACAGACCCAGCUAUGGGUCCCUUUCCUAUUACACCAUUGACUUAAGGCCACAGGGAUCUGGUGCAAUAAGUCAUUUAUGAAAAUAUGUAAAUCAGAUAACGAAUAGAAUAUCAGGCUAAAGCUGGCUUCUGUUGCCAUGACACCUCACUCUCAUGGGCUUGAUCAGUGGCAUCAGGGUAACUGGACUUCACUGCUCUGGGACCUUAGGACAAUAUUCCCGCCCACCUCCUCUCAUGCCCCCUGGUGAAUCCAGAUGAAUUCUAGAAUGUGUUCCAGCCGCUGCUAGCUGGAGGGAAUCACCUCCGACUUAGGAAAGUAUUGAGAGCUAGGGACAGGGCAACCUCAGCUCCACAAAAGCCCACAAUUCCAUUGUCUGGGCAGAGACUGCAGGCCCUCCGUUUCUCCUCUGGGUUGUUGAGAGAAUGCCUGAGAGGAGGUGAGAGAUGGAGAGGAUGUGGAGGGGGAAUGAGCUCCCCAGCAGGGUUGGCUCCCUCUGUUGGGCCAUGUACCUGGGGCUACUCUGGUCAUGGGCAAGAAGCAGGAUGUAAGUCUCUCCUAACUCCCCUGAGAUCUCUGGGGCAGGGGUGGGGAGAGGGAAGGUGGUCUCACCAGUGAGAGCUGGCCUACCGUUGUA